rnacentral:rRNA from 1 species
GGUAGUCCACGCCGUAAACGAUGUCGACUUGGAGGUUGUUCCCUUGAGGAGUGGCUUCCGGAGCUAACGCGUUAAGUCGACCGCCUGGGGAGUACGGCCGCAAGAUUAAAACUCAAAUGAAUUGACGGGGGCCAGCACAAGCGGUGGAGCAUGUGGUUUAAUUCGAUGCAACGCGAAGAACCUUACCUACUCUUGACAUCCAGCGAACUUUCCAGAGAUGGAUUGGUGCCUUCGGGAACGCUGAGACAGGUGCUGCAUGGCUGUCGUCAGCUCGUGUUGUGAAACGUUGGGUUAAGUCCCGCAACGAGCGCAACCCUUAUCCUUUGUUGCCAGCGAUUCGGUCGGGAACUCAAAGGAGACUGCCGGUGAUAAACCGGAGGAAGGUGGGGAUGACGUCAAGUCAUCAUGGCCCUUACGAGUAGGGCUACACACGUGCUACAAUGGCGCAUACAAAGAGAAGCGACCUCGCGAGAGCAAGCGGACCUCACAAAGUGCGUCGUAGUCCGGAUCGGAGUCUGCAACUCGACUCCGUGAAGUCGGAAUCGCUAGUAAUCGUGGAUCAGAAUGCCACGGUGAAUACGUUCCCGGGCCUUGUACACACCGCCCGUCACACCAUGGGAGUGGGUUGCAAAAGAAGUAGGUAGCUUAACCUUCGGGAGGGCGCUUACCACUUUGUGAUUCAUGACUGGGGGUGAAGUCGUAACAAGGUAACCGUAGGGGAACCCUGC